GGCUUGCUGAUUUUAUCUUCAAAACAUGCCUGGAAUCCCACCACUUCGUCUCUCGAUGCCACCACCCUCGAGGCCCACAGCUGCUCUAGUCUGGAUGAUGGCGACAAUCUCGCAGCUGGCCACCCUGCUUCUCCUGUGCUGGAGUGGAGUGCAGUGGCAUGACCAAGGCUCACUGCAGCCUCAACUUCCUGGGCUCGAGCGACCCCCAAGCCUCAGGAUCCGGAGGAGCUGGGACCACAGAAUCGACCCAACCAUGUGGCUUCACCCUGUGGUGAGGAAAGCCCUGCCACAGACAUUGGCCUGGACCCCUGAAAUCCAUCCAGACCAAGCACUUCCAUCGCAACACCCAGCCAGCCCUCUGCAUCUGCAGUCCACUUUGGAAUUUUUAGCUCCUCAGCCAGGCCACAGUCACAGAUUCUGGGAAUUAGGAGGUGGACAUGGAUUUUUGGGGGCCACCACUCACCCACUACAAGCGGGUACUUCGACACUUUUGGCCUCAGAUCAUAGGAGGACCUGCCCCGCCUGGCUGCCCAGAAGGGUUGGAGAAGGUUUUCUGGGAGACCCUGGCCCUCUGCAGCCCAGGAGAAGAGAGAAACACUGCCAGGGGCUGCAGCCCAGUGCCGCAGGGAAGAAGCUAAAGACCCUGGGAAGUUAAGCCCUCUGCAGCCCUUGACUGAGGUGUGAGGAUCCCCCAGCACAGUGAACACAUCCAGAGGUAGCCGCAGCCACCUGAAAAGGAGUGGGUGUUCUUGGAUGCUGGAUUGAAAUGUGGGUUUCAUCCUUGGGAAAUGAACCCAGUGCUUGCUGAAACCUGGGUAGUAUCUCAGACAAGAAGACUCUGAGCCGCCGCUGCAAGAUACAAGCCCCUGGCAGUGAUAUUUACACGCUGCUCAUGCAUGUUCCAAAGGAGCAGCACCAGAGGGUUUUGCUACUGAGUGCAGAGCGUGCCUGGCUGGGAUCAGUCCUGUGGAAAGCACAGUCCGUGCACAAUCACACGGGGAGAUCAAAGAGCAGCUGCCUUCCCACAAUCUCGGGGGAAGAUGGUGCAGCCAGGGCACUUGCCUCAAGCCUUCAACAUCAGAUAAGGCUGAACGCGUCAGUGAGAAGAACAGAGCUGCAGAGUAGCCCUCAGUUACCUCCAUUCAACUCCCGACCAACCAGUGACGUCAGUUGACUCCUUUAUGUUGGAUUAACAGGGAGGCUGGUGAUGUGGAUUCCUUUUUUUUCUUUUUCUUUUUUUUUUAGGUCUUUGGAUGUCAUGUUUAUGGCUGUGAUUUUGAAGACAUGUUUAUUUGAUGAUAAAAUAACUAGGAAAGGAAUUUUCAACAGAGUCAGAUUUUUGUGAAAGAAUGUGGAUGAGAUAGGUCCAUAAAAGAUAACCUCUCCCUGGCCUGGCUCCUGCUGAAUCUGUCAGCAGCCACAGUGCGCUGCUCCGAAGACACCUCAUCCCAGAGCGCUGGCGCCCGUUAGGAAGGGUGAGCAGGUGAUGGGUUUUGUCGACAGCGUUUAGAACCCUCAUCUUUUAGAGAAACCCCGAUGGAAACAGGGAGGGGCGUUGAAAGUGGCUGUGCUCUCCAGAUGUGAGCGGGGGCGGCUAGCAGGGGCCGGAAGGGCCCCGGCUUGCUAACUCACGGUCAAAUGGCUAUUUUUGUUCAGAGAGAGUUCAGGGAAAAAAAUGUCUUAGAACAAAGGACAAAACAUGGAUAAGAUGAACAAAUUCACUUUUUAUCUUAAAUGAAGAGUGACUUACAAAGCCGGUUGACUUGGAGGCCACUUUCUCAAGGUCGAAUACUCUCAUUCAACAACUUCAGAGGAACCCCUCCUCCCUGAGCCACACAAACAUAUUUUUUUUAAAUUUGGUUUAGAGAAUAUUGGAGGGUGGAAGAAGGGAGGUGUAGACAGGGGCACCAUUUCGGCCUUAGAGGCUCUUGGCUAGAAUAGAAAAAUCAAGUCAAUCGGAACAAUUAAGUCCUUGAAGUUUUUCUGGUCACCUUCUGGGCAGAUCUGGCCGUCCCAACAUGCCAUUGCUGGCGGCGUUCAUGUUAUUUAUCCCCACUUCAUUCUGCAGAGGCUUUAGGGGGGCUUAGGAAGUGACACCGGCGCAGACAGAUAAAUUAGAAGUGGGCGAGAAAGAUGAGAGGAAGGAAAACAAAGUCAGAGACAGGAGGGCUCCGGGCAGCAGGAGGUCCGUGCCCCGCCAGGCGAGUGGGAGAGCACUGAGCCUCCCAGACAGAACAGAGGAGACCCGGCCUGUUUUCCUUGCAUGAGCUCAGCCUGCAUGCUCCUCAUCCCCGGAGGCCCCUCGGGGACCACUCCCUGACCACACCAUUCUGCCUCUUGUGGAGCCCCAUCUAGAUGUGUUCCUGCUGGCCAGGCUGCUACACCAGGGGGGACAGGCACUGUGUCUGUCACCCCUGAUUCCCCAGGGCCUGAGUGCCGGAUUGGUGCUUGAUGAAUAAAUGAAUGGAUGAAUCAAGCGGAUGAGCAAAUGAAUGAACAUAGUCAGCUAAGAGAAUUCACUUCUCCCCAUCACCAGGCCAAGGGACAAGCUGGGAGAAGAAAACCAUCUGUCUCUGCCCCGGCACACCUGGCCCAGAGCCUGGCUGUGGUCACCCUCCGUCUUGUCAGAGGCAUGUGGGGACAGUUUCAGCCUGUCUGUUCACUCGUCAUUCCUACAAGCAUUUGCAGGUCACCUACUUCCACACUUUGAAUCCCUGCUCUGCUGUGUGUCCUUGUCCAGGCUACUAAACCUCUCUGUGCCUUCAUUCCCCUACCUGUAAAAUAGGAAUAAUAGCAGCAUCUUCCUAGUUUACAUCUGUGCAAAUAUGCUGGAUCGACGCUGGACACAUAGUGAGCACAGGCUGGAGCUGACCACUGCCAGCAUUUCCACAACCCAGGCCCAACUGUGGGACGCAAAGAUGAGUGGACAGGAUCCUCCCUGCAGUAGCGCCUACAGCCAGUCCCAGACCAGGCCCAGUCCUUAGCCCCCAUGGCAGGCCUAUCUCUGCAAGCCCACUCAGAUGUCCCUGGCCCCUCCACCAAGGAGCAGCCCUAGUCACGCUCCCUCAAGAAGGCGUGAGUGUAAUGCGGCACUGGCCCCAGUCGCUGUUGUGUGUGUAGGCAUGGCUGCUGCUGCCUUCUGACUGCUAUGUAUUCUGGUCCCGGGAAGCCCACCUUCUUCCCACCCAUGUGCCUUUGCCCAGGCAGUUUCCUCUGUCUGGGUCUCCCUUUCCUUGGCCAUGUUAGCAGCCGUAUGCAAAGUGGACCCAAGGAAGCCUG
rnacentral:lncRNA from 1 species